rnacentral:other from 1 species
UAUUCCCUGCUGCCCCGGGAAUCGGACACAUAUAAAGAGCCAACACUCUUUUCAUGGGAGCCCGACUCUGAACGCGUAUUACAUGCCUCCGUAGCGUGGACGUAAAAAACGGUCAGGAGAGCACCCACCGUGUCUGACACGGUUCUUUAUUACCGAACCGGGGUGCAGGGUUUUU